GACGAACGCUGGCGGCGCGCCUAACACAUGCAAGUCGAACGAGCGAGAGAGAGCUUGCUUUCUCGAGCGAGUGGCGAACGGGUGAGUAACGCGUGAGGAACCUGCCUCAAAGAGGGGGACAACAGUUGGAAACGACUGCUAAUACCGCAUAAGCCCACGGUGCCGCAUGGCACAGAGGGAAAAGGAGCAAUCCGCUUUGAGAUGGCCUCGCGUCCGAUUAGCUAGUUGGUGAGGUAAUGGCCCACCAAGGCGACGAUCGGUAGCCGGACUGAGAGGUUGAACGGCCACAUUGGGACUGAGACACGGCCCAGACUCCUACGGGAGGCAGCAGUGGGGAAUAUUGCACAAUGGGGGAAACCCUGAUGCAGCGACGCCGCGUGGAGGAAGAAGGUCUUCGGAUUGUAAACUCCUGUUGUUGGGGAAGAUAAUGACGGCACCAAACAAGGAAGUGACGGCUAACUACGUG
rnacentral:rRNA from 1 species